GACGUAGGGCGCGAGCGUUGUCCGGAUUUAUUGGGCGUAAAGAGCUCGUAGGCGGCUUGUCGCGUCGACUGUGAAAACCCGCGGCUCAACCGUGUGGUCUGCAGUCGAUACGGGCAGGCUAGAGUUCGGUAGGGGAGACUGGAAUUCCUGGUGUAGCGGUGAAAUGCGCAGAUAUCAGGAGGAACACCAGCGGCGAAGGCGGCGCUCUGGGACGGUACUGACGCUGAGACGCGAAAGCGUGGGGAGCGAACAGG
rnacentral:rRNA from 1 species